AGAGGGUGCGAGCGUUAAUCGGAAUUACUGGGCGUAAAGCGUGCGUAGACGGUUAUUUAAGUCGGAUGUGAAAGCCCCGGGCUCAACCUGGGAAUUGCAUUCGAGACUGAAUAGCUAGGGUGCGGUAGAGGGAAGCGGAAUUUCCGGUGUAGCGGUGAAAUGCGUAGAUAUCGGAAGGAACAUCAGUGGCGAAAGCGGCUUCCUGGACCAGCACCGACGUUCAGGCACGAAAGCGUGGGGAGCAAACAGGAUUAGAUACCCUGGUAGUCCACGCCAUAAACGAUGAGGACUAGACGUUGGAGGGGUAAGCCUUUCAGUGUCGUAGCUAACGCGCUAAGUCCUAAUCC
rnacentral:rRNA from 1 species